AUGAACGCUAGCUACAGGCUUAACACAUGCAAGUCGAGGGGCAGCAUUUUAGUUUGCUUGCAAACUAAAGAUGGCGACCGGCGCACGGGUGAGUAACACGUAUCCAACCUGCCGAUAACUCGGGGAUAGCCUUUCGAAAGAAAGAUUAAUAUCCGAUGGUAUAUUAAAACCGCAUGGUUUUACUAUUAAAGAAUUUCGGUUAUCGAUGGGGAUGCGUUCCAUUAGUUUGUUGGCGGGGUAACGGCCCACCAAGACUACGAUGGAUAGGGGUUCUGAGAGGAAGGUCCCCCACAUUGGAACUGAGACACGGUCCAAACUCCUACGGGAGGCAGCAGUGAGGAAUAUUGGUCAAUGGACGAGAGUCUGAACCAGCCAAGUAGCGUGAAGGAUGACUGCCCUAUGGGUUGUAAACUUCUUUUAUAUGGGAAUAAAGUAUUCCACGUGUGGGAUUUUGUAUGUACCAUAUGAAUAAGGAUCGGCUAACUCCGUGCCAGCAGCCGCGGUAAUACGGAGGAUCCGAGCGUUAUCCGGAUUUAUUGGGUUUAAAGGGAGCGUAGGUGGAUUGUUAAGUCAGUUGUGAAAGUUUGCGGCUCAACCGUAAAAUUGCAGUUGAAACUGGCAGUCUUGAGUACAGUAGAGGUGGGCGGAAUUCGUGGUGUAGCGGUGAAAUGCUUAGAUAUCACGAAGAACUCCGAUUGCGAAGGCAGCUCACUAGACUGCAACUGACACUGAUGCUCGAAAGUGUGGGUAUCAAACAGGAUUAGAUACCCUGGUAGUCCACACAGUAAACGAUGAAUACUCGCUGUUUGCGAUAUACAGUAAGCGGCCAAGCGAAAGCAUUAAGUAUUCCACCUGGGGAGUACGCCGGCAACGGUGAAACUCAAAGGAAUUGACGGGGGCCCGCACAAGCGGAGGAACAUGUGGUUUAAUUCGAUGAUACGCGAGGAACCUUACCCGGGCUUAAAUUGCAUUUGAAUAAUCUGGAAACAGGUUAGCCGCAAGGCAAAUGUGACGGUGCUGCAUGGUUGGCGUCAGCUCGUGCCGUGAGGUGUCGGCUUAAGUGCCAUAACGAGCGCAACCCUUAUCUUUAGUUACUAACAGGUCAUGCUGAGGACUCUAGAGAGACUGCCGUCGUAAGAUGUGAGGAAGGUGGGGAUGACGUCAAAUCAGCACGGCCCUUACGUCCGGGGCUACACACGUGUUACAAUGGGGGGUACAGAAGGCAGCUACCUGGUGACAGGAUGCUAAUCCCAAAAACCUCUCUCAGUUCGGAUCGAAGUCUGCAACCCGACUUCGUGAAGCUGGAUUCGCUAGUAAUCGCGCAUCAGCCAUGGCGCGGUGAAUACGUUCCCGGGCCUUGUACACACCGCCCGUCACACCAUGAGAGUUGGGGAUACCCGAAGCCUGUGAGCCAACUUUAAAAGAGGCAGCAGUCGAAGGUAGAAUCAAUGAUUGGGGUG
rnacentral:rRNA from 1 species